rnacentral:rRNA from 1 species
GUCUAUGGCCAUACCACCCUGAAUGAGCCUGAUCUCAUCUAAUCUUGGAAGCUAAGCAGGGUCGGGCUUGGCUAGUACUUGGAUGUGAGACAAUUUAAGUAUAUACU